GACGAACGCUGGCGGCGUGCUUAACACAUGCAAGUCGAGCGGUAAGGCCCUUUCGGGGGUACACGAGCGGCGAACGGGUGAGUAACACGUGGGUGACCUGCCCUUAGCUCUGGGAUAAGCCUGGGAAACUGGGUCUAAUACCGGAUAUGACUCCAUGACGCAUGUUGUGGGGUGGAAAGCCUUGUGCGGCUAGGGAUGGGCCCGCGGCCUAUCAGCUUGUUGGUGGGGUGAUGGCCUACCAAGGCGACGACGGGUAGCCGGCCUGAGAGGGCGACCGGCCACACUGGGGACUGAGACACGGCCCAGACUCCUACGGGAGGCAGCA
rnacentral:rRNA from 1 species